rnacentral:lncRNA from 1 species
CAAGAAGCUACAGAACCCCCUUGUGGCUCCCUUGUUCUGAAGCCACAAGGCCACAUGUUGAAGGCCUGUCCCUGCAGCUCUCUCCAACCUCAUCAGACCAGCAAAACCACCUUGUUCCUAGGUCCUUUCUAGAAGCUGGUGUGCCUGGGGUGAAAACAUCCAGUGUCCCAAUGAAAUAUAUGCCAUUUAUACAAGCUACCACCUCUGGCACCGUGGGCAGGAGGCAAGGCCUGGUCUGCAGAGUGUGUGGGCCUUAAACUCCCAGCAUGAAGCUCUUCAGCCUCCAAGGGCGC